AAUAAGAUUAAUGAUGCAAAGCUUAUCGAAUGUCCAAAAUACCACAUGUAGAGCUGUUUGUAAUGGUUUGAGCGUUGUAGAGAAAGCAUGUCAUACAUACAUAAUUAUGUCCAUCACAAGGAUGUCAUACAUACAUAAUUAUUCCUUGAAAUCUGAAUAUUGUGGAAUGAGUUGCAGCGUGGAAUCGUUGUUCGUAAGAACUGUUCAUCGUAAUCACAUAUGCGUAGUUAAGUAUCAUUAUAAUAAUU
rnacentral:sRNA from 1 species